rnacentral:misc_RNA from 1 species
UACAGGGGGUGCGAGCGUUAAUCGGAUUUACUGGGCGUAAAGCAUGCGUAGGCGGCUUUUUAAGUCGGCUGUGCAAUCCCCGAGCUUAACUUGGGAAUUGCAUUCAAUACUGGGAAGCUAGAGUAUGGGAGAGGAUGGUAGAAUUCCAGUUGUAGCGGUGAAAUGCGUAGAGAUCUGGAGGAAUACCGAUGGCGAAGGCAGCCAUCUGGCCUAAUACUUACGCUGAGUUACGAAAGCAUGGGGAGCAAACAGG